rnacentral:rRNA from 1 species
GGCCUGUUGAAGAUAAUUUUAGGUCGGGCCUGCCCAAUGAUUAAUAUUUAAUGGCCGCGGUAAUUUGACCGUGCAAAGGUAGCAUAAUCAUUAGUUUCUUAAUUGGAAGCUGGUAUGAAAGGUUUGAUGAAAAAAUAGCUGUCUCUAUUUAAAUUUUUUAAAAUUUUAUUUUUAAGUUAAAAAGCUUAAAUUUUUAUAGAAGACGAGAAGACCCUAUAGAGUUUUAUAAAUUAGUUAAUAAACUAUAUUUUAGGAUUAUUAAUUUUAUUAAUAAAUUUAUUUGGUUGGGGUGAUUGAAAAACUUAUUUAACUUUUUUUGUAUACGAACAUUGAUUUAUGAAUAAUUGAUCCUUUUUUUAAGAUUAUAAAAUUAAAUUACCUUAGGGAUAACAGCGUUAUUUUUUUUUAGAGUUCUAAUCGAAAAAAAAGAUUGCGACCUCGAUGUUGGAUUAAAGGAAAUUAUUGGUGUAGAAGCUAAUAAAUUAGGUCUGUUCGACCUUUAAAACUUUACAUGAUCUGAGUUUAGACCGGUGUGAG